UACGUAGGGUGCGAGCGUUAAUCGGAAUUACUGGGCGUAAAGCGUGCGCAGGCGGUUAUAUAAGACAGUUGUGAAAUCCCCGGGCUCAACCUGGGAAUUGCAUUUGUGACUGUAUAGCUAGAGUACGGUAGAGGGGGAUGGAAUUCCGCGUGUAGCAGUGAAAUGCGUAGAGAUCGGGAGGAACAUCUGUGGCGAAGGCGGCCAUCUGGACCAGCACUGACACUGAGGCACGAAAGCGUGGGGAGCAAACAGG
rnacentral:rRNA from 1 species